rnacentral:rRNA from 1 species
UCGAACGGUCUUUUCUAUGGAAGCUUGCUUCCGCUGAGAAGAUAGUGGCGAACGGGUGAGUAACACGUGGGUAACCUGCCCAUAAGAGGGGGAUAACAUCCGGAAACGGGUGCUAAUACCGCAUAGUUUUCUUGAUCGCAUGAUUGAGAAAGGAAAGACGGCCUUUGUGCUGUCGCUUAUGGAUGGACCCGCGGCGUAUUAGUUAGUUGGUGAGGUAACGGCUCACCAAGACGAUGAUACGUAGCCGACCUGAGAGGGUGAUCGGCCACAUUGGGACUGAGACACGGCCCAAACUCCUACGGGAGGCAGCAGUAGGGAAUCUUCCGCAAUGGACGAAAGUCUGACGGAGCAACGCCGCGUGAGUGAAGAAGGUUUUCGGAUCGUAAAACUCUGUUGUCAGAGAAGAACAAGUCGGAGAGUAACUGCUCCGGCCUUGACGGUAUCUGACCAGAAAGCCACGGCUAACUACGUGCCAGCAGCCGCGGUAAUACGUAGGUGGCAAGCGUUGUCCGGAUUUAUUGGGCGUAAAGCGAGCGCAGGCGGUUCCUUAAGUCUGAUGUGAAAGCCCACGGCUCAACCGUGGAAGGUCAUUGGAAACU